GGGAGCUUGCUCCCUGGAUUAGUGGCGAACGGGUGAGUAACACGUGAGUAACCUGCCCUUGACUCUGGGAUAAGCACUGGAAACGGUGUCUAAUACCGGAUACGAACUUCAGCCGCAUGGCUAGGAGUUGGAAAGAAUUUCGGUCAAGGAUGGACUCGCGGCCUAUCAGCUAGUUGGUGAGGUAAUGGCCCACCAAGGCGACGACGGGUAGCCGGCCUGAGAGGGUGACCGGCCACACUGGGACUGAGACACGGCCCAGACUCCUACGGGAGGCAGCAGUGGGGAAUAUUGCACAAUGGGCGCAAGCCUGAUGCAGCAACGCCGCGUGAGGGACGACGGCCUUCGGGUUGUAAACCUCUUUUAGUAGGGAAGAAGCGAAGUGUUUUACAUGGAGUGACGGUACCUGCAGAAAAAGCACCGGCUAACUACGUGCCAGCAGCCGCGGUAAUACGUAGGGUGCAAGCGUUAUCCGGAAUUAUUGGGCGUAAAGAGCUCGUAGGCGGUUUGUCGCGUCUGCUGUGAAAACUGGGGGCUCAACCCCCAGCCUGCAGUGGGUACGGGCAGACUAGAGUGCGGUAGGGGAGAUUGGAAUUCCUGGUGUAGCGGUGGAAUGCGCAGAUAUCAGGAGGAACACCAAUGGCGAAGGCAGAUCUCUGGGCCGUAACUGACGCUGA
rnacentral:rRNA from 1 species